rnacentral:rRNA from 1 species
AGAGUUUGAUCAUGGCUCAGGAUGAACGCUAGCUACAGGCUUAAUACAUGCAAGUCGAGGGGAAACGACAUCGAAAGCUUGCUUUUGAUGGGCGUCGACCGGCGCACGGGUGAGUAACGCGUAUCCAACCUGCCCACCACUUGGGGAUAACCUUGCGAAAGUAAGACUAAUACCCAAUGACGUCUCUAGAAGACAUCUGAAAGAGAUUAAAAGAUUUAUCGGUGAUGGAUGGGGAUGCGUCUGAUUAGCUUGUUGGCGGGGUAACGGCCACCAAGGCGACGAUCAGUAGGGGUUCUGAGAGGAAGGUCCCCCANAUUGGAACUGAGACACGGUCCAAACUCCUACGGGAGCA